rnacentral:rRNA from 1 species
GACGAACGCUGGCGGCGUGCUUAACACAUGCAAGUCGAACGGAAAGGCCUGCUUUCCCUUGUGGAUUGCGGGUACUCGAGUGGCGAACGGGUGAGUAACACGUGAGUGAUCUGCCCCCAACUUGGGUAUAAGCCUGGGAAACUGGGUCUAAUUCCCGAUAGGACUGCAGGGUGGUGCCUGUGGUGGAAAACGAUUUUCUAGUGGUUGGGGAUGAGCUCGCGGCCUAUCAGCUUGUUGGUGGGGUAAUGGCCUACCAAGGCGGCGACGGGUAGCCGGCCUGAGAGGGUGGACGGCCACAUUGGGACUGAGAUACGGCCCAGACUCCUACGGGAGGCAGCAGUGGGGAAUAUUGCACAAUGGGCGGAAGCCUGAUGCAGCGACGCCGCGUGGGGGAUGACAGCCUUCGGGUGGUAAACUCCUUUCGACCGCGAGGAAGCCACCUGGUUGGAAGGGUGGUGACGGUAGUGGUAGAAGAAGCACCGGCUAACUACGUG